AGGCUGCAACUCGCCUGCAUGAAGCGGAAUUGCUAGUAAUCGCGGAUCAGCAUGCCGCGGUGAAUACGUUCUCGGGCCUUGUACACACCGCCCGUCACACCAUGGGAGUCGGUAACACCCGAAGUCUGUAGCCUGACGCAAGAGGGCGCAGCCGAAGGUGGGAUUGAUGACUGGGGUGAAGUCGUAACAAGGUAUC
rnacentral:rRNA from 1 species